AUUGAACGCUGGCGGCAGGCCUAACACAUGCAAGUCGAGCGGAUGAAGGGAGCUUGCUCCUGGAUUCAGCGGCGGACGGGUGAGUAAUGCCUAGGAAUCUGCCUGGUAGUGGGGGAUAACGUCCGGAAACGGGCGCUAAUACCGCAUACGUCCUGAGGGAGAAAGUGGGGGAUCUUCGGACCUCACGCUAUCAGAUGAGCAUAGGUCGGAUUAGCUAGUUGGUGGGGUAAAGGCCUACCAAGGCGACGAUCCGUAACUGGUCUGAGAGGAUGAUCAGUCACACUGGAACUUAGACACAGUCCAGACUCCUGCGGGAGGGAGCAGAGGGGAAUAUUGGACAAUGGGCGAAGGCCUGAUCCAGCCAUGCCGCGUGUGGGAAGAAAGUCUUCGGAUAGUAAAGCGCUUGAGGUUGGGAGAAAGGGCAGUAAGUUAAUACCUUGCUGUUAUGACGUUACCAACAGAAUAAGCACCGGCUAACUUCGUG
rnacentral:rRNA from 1 species